UACGUAGGGGGCAAGCGUUGUCCGGAUUUAUUGGGCGUAAAGAGCGUGUAGGCGGCUGGGUAGGUCCGUUGUGAAAACUCGAGGCUCAACCUCGAGACGCCGAUGGAAACCCUCCAGCUAGAGUCCGGAAGAGGAGAGUGGAAUUCCUGGUGUAGCGGUGAAAUGCGCAGAUAUCAGGAAGAACACCCGUGGCGAAGGCGGCUCUCUGGAACGCAACUGACGCUGAGACGCGAAAGCGUGGGUAGCAAACAGG
rnacentral:rRNA from 1 species